GCCCAACCAUAACACAACAAUUAAAUCACCAAUUGUUCGCCAAAUAACUACGAGUAAAAACUUAAAACUUAAAAGACUUGACGGUAUCUCACAACAACCUAGAGGAGCCUGUCCAAUAACCGAUACCCCGCGAUUAACCCGACCCCCCCUAGCCUAACAGUCUAUAUACCGCCGUCGCCAGCCUACCUUAUGAAAGAAACAAAGUGAGCAAAAUAGUCAUUACUAACACGACAGGUCGAGGUGUAACUAAUGGGGGGGAUAAGAUGGGCUACAUUUUCUAACACAGAAAAUACGAACAAACUAUGAAAUAAGAAACUGAAGGCGGAUUUAGCAGUACACUAAGAACAAAACACUUAAUCGAAACCAACGCAAUGAGAUGCGUACACACCGCCCGUCAUCCCUGUUAACCAACAAAAACAUACAUAAACACAAACCACCACCUUAAAGCAGGGCAAGUCGUAACAUGGUAAGCGUACUGGAAAGUGCGCUUAGAAA
rnacentral:rRNA from 1 species